rnacentral:rRNA from 1 species
UGCUCCCUACGGGGGGCAGCAGUAGGGAAUCUUCCACAAUGGGCGCAAGCCUGAUGGAGCAACGCCGCGUGGGUGAAGAAGGUCUUCGGAUCGUAAAACCCUGUUGUUAGAGAAGAAAGUGCGUGAGAGUAACUGUUCACGUUUCGACGGUAUCUAACCAGAAAGCCACGGCUAACUACGUGCCAGCAGCCGCGGUAAUACGUAGGUGGCAAGCGUUAUCCGGAUUUAUUGUGCGUAAAGGGAACGCAGCCGGUCUUUUA